rnacentral:rRNA from 1 species
GAUGAACGCUAGCGGCAGGCUUAAUACAUGCAAGUCGUGGGGCAGCAGGGUUGUAGCAAUACAAUCGCUGGCGACCGGCAAACGGGUGCGUAACACGUACGCAACCUUCCCGUUACUGUGGCAUAGCCCAGGGAAACUUGGAUUAAUACCACAUAUUAUAUUGAGGGGGCAUCCCUUUGAUAUCAAAGCUUCGGCGGUAACGGAUGGGCGUGCGGUUGAUUAGGUAGUUGGCGGGGUAACGGCCCACCAAGCCUACGAUCAAUAGCUGAUGUGAGAGAACGAUCAGCCACACGGGGACUGAGACACGGGCCCGACUCCGACGGGAGGCAGCAGUAAGGAAUAUUGGGCAAUGGACGAAAGUCUGACCCAGCCAUGCCGCGUGAAGGAUUAAGGUCCUCUGGAUUGUAAACUUCUUUUCUCUGGGGCGAAAACCAGCUAUUCUUAGCUAUUUGACAGUACCAGAGGAAUAAGCACCGGCUAACUCCGUGCCAGCCGCCGCAGUAACAC